rnacentral:rRNA from 1 species
UAGCGAGUGUGUAAGCCGCCCGUACCCCAAACCGACACAGGUGGUCAGGUAGAGAAUACCGAGGCGAUCGAGUGAACUGUGGUUAAGGAACUCGGCAAAUUGCCCCCGUAACUUCGGGAGAAGGGGGGCCGCGGCUGGUGAUGGGACUUGCUCCCUGAGCUGGCUACGGCCGCAGAGACCAGGUGGAAGCGACUGUUUACUAAAAACACAGGUCCAUGCAAAGUCGCAAGACGACGUAUAUGGACUGACGCCUGCCCGGUGCUGGAACGUUAAGGGGACCAGUUAGUUCUUCGGAGCGAAGCUGAGAACUUAAGCGCCAGUAAACGGCGGUGGUAACUAUAACCAUCCUAAGGUAGCGAAAUUCCUUGUCGGGUAAGUUCCGACCUGCACGAAUGGCGUAACGACUUCCACGCUGUCUCAACCGCAGACUCGGCGAAAUUGCACUACGAGUAAAGAUGCUCGUUACGCGUGGCAGGACGGAAAGACCCCGGGACCUUUACUACAGCUUGGUAUUGGUGGUCGGUUCGAUUUGUGUAGCAUAGGUGGGAGACUUGGAAGCCCGGACGCCAGUUCGGGUGGAGUCAUCGUUGAAAUACCACUCUGAUCGUAUUGGCUGUCUAACCUCGAUCCGUGAUCCGGAUUAGGGACAGUGCCUGGUGGGUAGUUUAACUGGGGCGGUUGCCUCCCAAAGAGUAACGGAGGCGCUCAAAGGUUCCCUCAGCCUGGUUGGCAAUCAGGUGUCGAGUGUAAGUGCACAAGGGAGCUUGACUGUGAGACUGACAGGUCGAGCAGGGACGAAAGUCGGAACUAGUGAUCCGGCGCCGGCAUGUGGAAGCGGCGUCGCUCAACGGAUAAAAGGUACCCCGGGGAUAACAGGCUGAUCUUGCCCAAGAGUCCAUAUCGACGGCAUGGUUUGGCACCUCGAUGUCGGCUCGUCGCAUCCUGGGGCUGGAGUCGGUCCCAAGGGUUGGGCUGUUCGCCCAUUAAAGCGGCACGCGAGCUG